rnacentral:rRNA from 1 species
GACGAACGCUGGCGGCGUGCUUAACACAUGCAAGUCGAACGGAAAGGCCCUGCUUUUGUGGGGUGCUCGAGUGGCGAACGGGUGAGUAACACGUGAGUAACCUGCCCUUGACUUUGGGAUAACUUCAGGAAACUGGGGCUAAUACCGGAUAGGAGCUCCUGCUGCAUGGUGGGGGUUGGAAAGUUUCGGCGGUUGGGGAUGGACUCGCGGCUUAUCAGCUUGUUGGUGGGGUAGUGGCUUACCAAGGCUUUGACGGGUAGCCGGCCUGAGAGGGUGACCGGACACAUUGGGACUGAGAUACGGCACAGACUCCUACGGGAGGCAGCAGUGGGGAAUAUUGCACAAUGGGCGGAAGCCUGAUGUAGCAACGCCGCGUGGGGGAUGACGGCCAUCGGGUUGUAAACCGCUUUCGCCUGUGACGAAGCGUGAGUGACGGUAAUGGGUAAAGAAGCACCGGCUAACUACGUG